rnacentral:lncRNA from 1 species
UUUUUUUUUCUGUCAACACGGGAUCACUGCGGUGGUAGCUAGGUAGGUAGGCGUAGUUAUUUUGAGGAGAAUCAGAAGGCAUCGAUGAUGUGUCCUGGGCGGGCGGAGCAACCGUGACAGGCAGCAGAUCGAAAUCGAACCGAAGCUUAUCCCUGAAACAAGUUGACAACCCGGGCCUUUUUUCGCGGUGUUCCUUGAAGCUGCUGCUGCGAGUCUGCAACGAUCAACUUUUUAUAGCUCCCAAAGCGACGGCCACGAAGAAACCUGACACCAUCUUAUCCUAUCCCCCUCUCUCUUUCCCAGCAUGUGAUUGAUUGCACGGACGCGGGCCUCAGUUGGGCCAAAAGCCCGGACUUGGUGGACGGCUGGAGGUUGGUGUCGGUCGCAGGCUGAUCCGAUCGAACGGUGAUGCGUAGCCCUGAUGCUGGCUGUUGUGCUGCAGCAACUUGCGGUACUUGUAGGUGAAUUGUCCCGGUCUGAUGUCGUUAGGGCACUUAUGAAACACACCACAUGACCUUGUCUUCAAAUCAAAUCAGACGACGCGCGCGGGCGAUUGAAUUUGACGCCGCCGCCCUAGCUAUCUGGGGGAUGGAGGCAUCAAGCUCUGCAUCUCGUCUCUGAUCGAUCACUGUUCUAGCUAGGUUUACUGGCAUGCAGUGAAGCCACAGGACAGUAGGCUAUCUAGCUGGUCGGCGUUGCUGACAUGCAAGUUCAGGGCUUGCAUCGGUGGCCACUUGCCAGUGUUUUCUCUUUCAGUUCAUGGGUCUGGCACUUCCAAGUUUCCAGCAGUGUAGUGUGCCACUAGGCUCCGUGCUCUGCCUUUUGUUUAGACAGGGUAGGUCAUGUGCCCAAGCUAAAUUAUUUUUUUUCCUUCAUCUGAUCUGUGGCUGUCCACAAGUUUAUUGACACGUGGCUCCGCUCUUUGCCACUAUUGAGACUGCAAAUCUCUUUAAAAAAAAUACAAGCAGAUGACAGAAGGCACCAUCUGAGGGAGCACUGUUACUAGUGGACACUGUACUGGGUCUAACCGCACUUUUAAGACCUCAUCACAGCUGAUGCCACUAACGUCAACCCAUCCCUGUCAGUCAGUGCAACCGACGCUUGAUGAUGAGCUAGACUAGAAAUAAAGCUUCGUUUCAAGUGCCGGAAUUUUCUCUUAUUCCUGUAGGAGUGGAUCAUAUUUUUCUUCUUUUCCAAGCAUAUGUCCUUAUAACUAUGACAGGUUCCUUGUACAGCUCCUACCAAAAUCUAAAAUUGAUCAUUGUCCAUAGAAAUCCUAUUUUUAUUACACCGAAAACGUGUCGCAUAGGGUGGUAAUGGAUCAUGGCCCCAUAUCUUCUUCACAAUCCAAUUCAGCCCUACGUUCAAAAUCAUAUCAUAUUAUGUGAUCCGAUCUUUAUUGAGCCUGAUCCUUUACCUCUCCUAAGUAGUAGGAGUACUCCUAUUUCCUCGUAAUCCCAAUAUCUCCUUUUUAUUCUCCAGAAAAGAUUUUUCAUAAUUGCAUUUAUUCCCCGGACCGGAUAUAUACCGGGGGACGUAAAGCAAUCGAUAUUGAUAGCUGCCCUCUAGUUUUGUCGCUUCAACCGGACGCGUUUUCUUGGAUCUGAAGAAAUGGGCACCAUCAGCAGGAAUCCAAUUCAAACAUCAGUCAGCUGGGCAAACUCCCACGCGCUAAAUUCCAAAUCUGAAACAUCAAAAAUCUGGGUUCCGUCUCUAAUCGUAGUUCUCUCAGGAACCGAAUAACGGAUUCACUAGCACGGGAAAAGGAAAAAUGCUAGGUGUACUCUGAUGACAACAGCUCCAUACGAAAAUUGAACCAGUACCCAACACAAAUUCGACCGUUACUUUCCAUGACAUGCCCCUUUUAGAAGUCGACCAAAGUUUGGUGAUGUGAGGGCAUUUUGCAUGGCAAAUCUAUUAGUAGUCUCCUUAUCCAUAUUGCAAUGUAUAGUUUCAAUAGAAAAUGGUCUUCAGAAAUUAUUUUUUAUGUUUAUUUUCUCAUACAAUAUAUUCUCAAACUUAGGAUUUUGCACCAGAAAAACACCCGAUCCUAUAUCCCGAAAAGAGUCGCGAGAGCAACAUGAACUUUUUUUAUGUUUGCGACGCUCAAUCUUGUCCCAACUUACUAAAAAGAUUGUUCACGAUACAAAAAGAAGAGCAAUUCCUUCGACAAGAAAGCUAAAUAGGCUAUCCAUGAAUUAAUCCAGUUUAUUAGAUGCACUUUGAUCCACGAAUUAAAAAAAGGUUAUCCAGGUACAACCUGUCCAUAUAACGUUCAAGUAUAGUCGGAGGCAGUAGCGAAUUAUGUUUCUAUACUUAGGGUAUGUUUGUUUUCCUCCUAAAUUAUAUAAGUUGGAUUAUGGUCCAAGGGUAGGAGGAUAAAAAAUCAUCACGGGACCGCUAGAGGAUCACAAAUAAUCUGAAAUACGCUAGUCUUGGAUAGCUUAUUUCAAAUUAUACAUGAUCCCAAAGUAAUAUUUUACCAUAGUACCCAUGACCCAUAAUCCAACUUAUUAUAAUCCUAAAUAAACAUGGCCUUACAAGAUCAGAGAACAAACAUAUCCUCUAGACGAAAAUAAUCACCCAUUACCCAAAAAACGGGAGCUCCGGCUGAGUACGCGUAGUAAAAUGCCAUCCUAGAGCCCCACUGCAUGUGGGACCCUUGACCCAAGUCCACCACAUCCCGUGAAAGCGGAGGAGGCACUGCCCUCCCCCACACGCCCGCCCACACGGCUCCCAUGGCGACGCGCCCCUAUUUAGCCGCCCCCACCUCCAUGCCUCCAUGCCCACCACCGCCACUUUAUUCUCCCCUCCGCUUCCACCAAUCCACCACCUCGUCCUCCUCCUCCUCUAGCAGCCUGGCAGCACUGUGGACUAGCCGCCCUCCCAUCCGAUCCCCUACUCGAAGGUGAGCAGCCCUGCGCCCAUGCCAAAUUUCUCUCGCAAUCCGAUCGUAGCGUAGCACACAAAUACCCCUUCUUGAUACCGGUGCCUUGCGUGGAUUUGUGCCGGAUCUUCUGUCUUCGGUAAGGCCGGCUCUAAUCCACUGCAAAACCAGUUUGAUCUGCACCGAAAUCUUGUAGGGGGCAUGUAGGGUUCUAGUGUUUUACCUGCUUGUUCUAGUCGUAGCAGCAGCUGUCCAAAAUCUUGGGAUCCUUUUGGCUUUAUUUGUACUGACUGUGUGAAAGCUCUGUAUUGAUAAAGGCUUUUUUUUCUCUCGCUUGAAUUGUUGCAGGAUACACCGUGAGUAGGCGUGAUGGUGCUUGAUACCAAUACGUGUUCCCCGUUUUCGUGCAGUCUAACAUCGUUUCAUGCUAAAUCGCAUUAGUUUAAUGGGACGAAUACACUACUUCAUUUGAGAUCAUUGCACAUCCUUUAAGAUUUUAUUCUCUUUUCUUUUUUUAGCAAUAUUACUUUCUAGCUCUUUGGUUUAUGUCCAACAUUUUUGUGUCUGCUCCAAUUUUGCAGGGUCUUGAGUUAAUUGGUUGGGCAAGGAGGUGGUUGAUUCCAGCAGGACCCUUCUCGUGAGCCUAGUCUGACCGGCCUUGGUAUUUGGGGGUUGUUCUGUACUCUCUUUAAUUUGUGAGUUGUGACAGGUUCUUGAAGUGCAAUUGUUAGAGUUUUAGUUGUAGCAGAAGAGAGAAUUUGCUAAUAUGGCGUUGGCAGGGACUUCCAAAGUAGUGCUGGGAUGUAUCGCCUUUGGGAUUUUCUGGGUGAUGGCUGUCUUCCCCACUGUCCCGUUCAUGCCUGUUGGACGGACGGCUGGGUCCCUCCUUGGUGCUAUGCUAAUGGUCCUGUUCCGUGUCAUCUCCCCGGAGGACGCAUAUGCUGCAAUUGACCUCCCGAUCAUCGGCCUGCUCUUUGGGACAAUGGUCGUCAGCAUCUUCCUUGAGAGGGCUGACAUGUUUAAGUACCUCGGUAACCUGCUCUCAUGGAAGAGCAGAGGUAGCAAGGACCUGCUCUUCCGAGUUUGCAUUGUGUCUGCCUUUGCAAGCGCACUUUUCACCAAUGACACAUGCUGUGUCGUGCUCACUGAAUUCAUCCUCAAGGUUGCUAGGCAGAACAACCUACCACCACAGCCUUUCCUUCUGGCCCUUGCCACUAGUUCAAACAUCGGCUCUGCUGCGACGCCGAUUGGUAACCCUCAGAACCUUGUCAUAGCAGUGGAGAGUGGGAUUUCAUUUGGUCAGUUCCUGCUAGGAGUUUUCCCAGCAAUGAUUGUUGGGGUUCUGACAAAUGCUGCUAUCCUCCUUUUGUACUUCUGGAAAUACCUGUCUGUGGAGAAGGAUCAGGAAGGUGGGCAACCAGAAGGGCCAGAGGUUGUUGCCGACGAUGAGGUUACCUCACAUCGGUUCACACCGGCUAGAAUGUCACAUGUUUCUUCCCUGAAUCCAGAUGAUGUGGAUUGCAUAAGUGAACCAAUCAUCAGGAGCAACAGUGUCAGUACCAGUGUGAAUGAGAACCUGAGGAGCAGAAGCAUCAAUUCUGAGGCUGACAUUCAACUCGCCAUCAAGUCUCUGCGGGCAUCGAGCAUGUCACACGAGAUGGUAGAGGUCUCGACGGUUCCUGAUAGGAGAGAUGAAGGUGCAUCCUCAAGGAAGUUCACUAGAACUGCUAGCCAACAAAGGAGUGUGAUAAUAGAGGACCUGCCACCCUCCCCUGACACCAAUGGGGAAAAGGACAAAGAAGCUGAAGUUGCAGAGAAAAGGUGGAAAAUUCUUGUGUGGAAGACUGCUGUUUAUCUUAUAACUCUCGGUAUGCUCAUUGCACUUCUAAUGGGGCUUAACAUGUCCUGGACUGCAAUUACUGCAGCUCUUGUUCUUCUGGCACUUGAUUUUACAGAUGCACAGGCUUGCCUUGAGAAGGUAUGUUCCUCAAAUUUUGAUCAAUGCUUAGAGAGUUGAUACUUUUCUUAGCAUGAAUGAUGAUCAUCUUCUUGACUUGCAGGUGUCAUACUCAUUGCUGAUCUUUUUCUGCGGGAUGUUUAUCACGGUUGAUGGUUUCAACAAAACUGGCAUCCCGAACACAUUAUGGGAGUUAGUGGAACCAUAUUCACGAAUUGAUAGUGCCAAAGGUGUUGCACUUCUUGCGGUGGUGAUUCUUAUCCUUUCAAAUGUGGCCUCAAAUGUUCCCACAGGUACUUUUUCUCAAAUUGAUUUCUUUUGGGCACUAUUGGAAAUUUUAUGAACACGGCCAUCUGUAAUCAUUUAAUACUUUAUAACAUAUAUGCUAUUUUGUUUAAGAAAUCUGUUAUAUUGGUAUUUUAGAGGCUGUGUGCUCAUAUGGCCUUCUGGUCUCUCUGUUCUUUUCUGGUGCCUAGCAUGAUUAAAGGAACUGGAAUAUUACUCUAGCAUUUGGUGCGCAAAACUGAAAUUUGUACAUCAUUUGCAAAAUUUGUACAGAAUUAAACUGAAUUGCCACAACAAUUCAUGAUCCACAAAGAGGAACACUGACUUUAGUAAGACUUAAAAUAUUUGUAGUGCUUUAUCAGAGUACUUUCUGUGCUGUAAAACAUUCAAUCCUGAGCCUAUAUUUGUGGAAAGUAAUCAUGGAAGUUAUAUUGUUCUCACAGAAAUAGGUUUGAAGGCACUUAAUUUAUCCAAACCAGAGAUCUAUAUAUUAUACUGAACUGAGCAACUUAUGGUCUUUUAGUCUGUACUGUACUUCAGAACUCAGAAGUUUGCGAGAGUAAUUAGAUCCAGCAUGUUCAUCCUAUAUCGGAACUUUUCUUUUCUUUUUUCAGUAUUGUUGCUCGGUACAAGAGUGGCUGCAUCAGCUGCCGCAAUUUCUCAUGGUUCAGAGAGGAAGGCCUGGCUCAUUCUUGCAUGGGUCAGCACCGUGGCUGGGAACCUCACCCUCUUGGGUUCCGCCGCGAAUCUGAUCGUGUGCGAGCAGGCCAGGCGAGCCCAGUUCUUCGGCUACAAUCUCACCUUCUGGAGCCACCUCCGAUUCGGGGUGCCAUCGACCAUCAUAGUCACGGCGAUCGGGCUGCUCAUCGUCAUCAGUUACUGAAGUCAGCUGAAGGCAGGCGAUAGUGUACGAGAAGCAGAACGGAUAAAUCCAUCCAAUAAGAAAUCACAUGUAAAAUAGGCUUGUAACUCUCGUGUGUGUGUCAGUAUGUGUAUGUCUCCGUCUGUGUUCUUGCUCAUUUGGCGCUGCUAGCAGACUGCAGAUAGCUGACCGUGUAGCCUGCAUUUUCAUUCCUGAACGGAUGUUGCAAAUAGGGUUAAUGAAGAACGGUAUGAUAAUCUGAUUGCUGAUUUUGUGUUCUAGAUGCUUAACCGUGAGUUUCUCCAAGCUUGUGUUUCGAUUUCUGGAGCAAAGCGUUUAAAUAGUUCGUUUCCGAAGCUGAAACUCUGUUAACUUCUGCUUUCAAAUAAAAAAUCCGAAAGUGAAGUUUGGGCAAAAAUUGGAAGCAGCCCAUCACCUCAUUGGGCUUAUUGUGCCCAACAGCUAUAACUUUCGCCCACCCACCACUAAGCCUAGGCCCAGCGGAGAGAUCCUUUGCAGUUCGCCCAUUCCCGCCGCCGCCGCCGCCAUCGUCAACGCCGACAGGUCCACGAGCGCGGCGCCCGCGGCGAGAGGAUCAUCCUUCUCCGCCGCGAUAGAAGUGGACGCGGAGAGGCCUCAGUUCGAGCCUUCUUCGAGGCGCUGAUGCCAAGCGAGAUGAACGGCGGGAGGCCCCAAUCCCGGAAGUAGCCAGUGCCGAUCCACCGGUUCGCGCCGCUGUAGAGGUGUCGGAUGGAGAAUUGGAGAUAUACACUCCCGUCAACGGGCACAUGAAAAUCGACAUCCGCAUGAACCUUAAGGUGCGUGGCGUGACCUUGUGAUUUGUGCUUGUGCUUUUUUAUUUGAGCGUGAAAAGCGUCUGGAGUUGUGGUUAUCCUUGCAUCAUGGAUUAUAUGAGUCUGCAAAUCCUUAAUUGUCGAUUAGACAACUGUUCGUGUAAUUUUGUAGGAUGAUAUCCCAACGUAGAAGGUGCAUAUUUGACGAAUGCUCAUAUAAGCUGAAGUAUAGAACCAGCAUUGUAGAUGAUGGUGUGCUGUUGUUAUUAUGAGGAUGGAAUUUGUGGACGGGCUGAUAAAUUCGAUCAGUGUUGGAGUAUCUGUGCUGAAGGGAUAAAAUUCAGUAGUAUAAUGGAUCCAGCUUUGCUGCGAAUCCGAAACAAGUAGUGCAAAAAAUAAUUCUAAUUGUGGAUCCCUUCAAUCACUUCUGCCUGUCAUGAACAUAGUUAUUCAGUAAGGGGUUCCAACUUCAUUUUUAAAAUGAGCAAGCACAAAUAUUCGAAAGGAUAGCUCAGUACUUGUUCACAAAUACCAUCAAUCAUUAUUUUGAUCUUCAUAGAUAUGCAUGACAACAGAACCUUAUAUUUUGAAUAAUGAAAAUACUUUCUUUGUUGAAUUGUUGUGAGCUGUCAUGACGCUUUGGUUCCAUGGAUUCCUGUAUUAUCCCCUUGUUUUUUUUGUUUUAAGUGACGAUAUCACCAAUGCUUGCAAGCCUAGACCUCCUGACUACUGUUUCCUGAACGAAUUGUCAUUAUUUUAUUUCGUAUUCCUUAACCGCUCUGCUGUAUGAUUAGGCCAUUUCCUACGAAGCAAACCCAUUAAAACAAUAACUAUUUCGUCUACCUCAGGCAGGAAGGGCAGAGCUGAAAACAAGCAAGGCACACCUGACGUGAGCAACCUGCAGAAAUGCUUGGACUUCUUCGUGCAUGCAUUCAUGCUUGGAUUCGGCAUUCGGAUGCCAUCGCCUUACGACCUUUACGUGGAUUCAUUCGAGGUAAAAGGACGUGAAGAGGCUCCGAGGGGAAGGUAGGCAAGACCAAGUAUAUGCCGUCGAGGACUCGACCAGGCCAGGACGCGGACUGUUAUCACGGACACGGAGAUCCAUAUCCUUGGGUCCUUUCAACAUUGUGAUCGAUGCCGUCCAACCGUUGCUAGCCGCGCCGCCCAAGUCCCUCGCCGGGAGGCCGCAUCCCCUGGGAUUCUACGGCCCGGCCGGAAUUGGGCGCGGGGCUUGUCAUGUGCGUGAACAAAAACAGCACCUAUGUUUCAUACUUACAAAUCACAAAACGUCCAAUGAUUUAACAACAAAGUACUUGCAGCAGCAAACUUACUAGAAUACCAAUUCUCAUCAUCUCAUCUCAACAUAUCAAAGAACACACGUAUGCCUCUCAUGCCAACUCAUCGGCACAAUCAACCACUUCACAUAUGGAUCAAUAGCAAGUAAGAUGGUGACUGAAUCAACACAUAUGGCAAGAAAAAUACCAAAUCAAUAGUAGACACCAAGAUUCAUGUGGAAACCCCUUGCGGGAAAAAACCACGAGCGGCGGCAAGCAAUCCACUAUAUGAAGAAGCAAUACAAGAGGUGGGAACCAACAAGGUGGGAAGCUCCAAAUCCCCCACGGAUUUCACUUUCUAUUGGAUGGAUUUGGUGGAUCUAAACCUCUCCUCUCCUUAACCCUAACUCUCGUCCAAGGUGGAAGAACGUAACAGAAUACUUUGUUCCUAUUCGAGUUGGGCUGCCCCUUAAAAUGGCAAACUUGUAAAGAGGCUCCAAAGUUGCAAAUUGUCACAACCAGCCCCAAUUUCAAUAUACAAUAUGUAUAGGCAAUGCUUGCCAUAACAAAUGAGCUAAUGGGCUUCCAAAUUGAUGAAAUUAGGAGCUGGACAUCAGGCACAGGGUUGGCAAAGCUUCGCGCGCGUGCACGCACGCCCAUUGGAUGGAAUUGGCACUUGGCAGAUCAGUGAACGUCCUGUUCGCUGCCGUACGUAGCUAGCUGUGUGACCGCGUCUGUGUGCACGGCGUGCAUGCAUGUGCAUGGCACGCAUCGGUUCAAUUAUUUGCACCGUCAAGUACUUGCAUUGGUUCUUUCUGCAUGCAGUAAAUCACUCAACGCCCAAGGCGAAAAAUGGCCCCUCGGCCGAGUUGGUCGUGUCAUUUUCUUCUUCUUUAGCACCAAGGGGACAGGGUGACGUGUUGCCUGAUCAUCAUCGACCCGGCGGUCGUUGCAACAUCGAUCAAAGCCUACGAAAAGGGUCCACUUUGCAUGCUACAAACGUUGACUGGGGGGCAAGGAGAGAAGAGGCAGGAAAGUACCCAGCUCAGAGCUUGACGCAUCUGAUUUAUUUUCAGUCGGUUGCGUAGCUUAUAUGUUCAUCGUAUAGAUUUCUGAAACAACAAGUAAUUUUCCAGAUAAGAAAUAAACGAGAACAUAUAAAUGCAUGAUAGAAUCUAUGGGACCAAGUAUUUUCUUAAGUGUUUGAAAACAAGAUAGAUUUCACCGUCAAUCUAUGUGAUAGUAGCGCGCGGAACAAUCACGACACGGGUGGAGUACGUAUACACUGGAAGGAUAGCCACAAGAUAUGGCAUGACAUACGCCAGGAGUAAUAGCAGGGAAAAUAAUCGUAAUAAGCAAAUCACCGUCUAAUACUAGUUUGUUUCUCUAGAUCAACAGCAACCACCAUAAUACGUAAGUAGCUGGUUGUUGAUCUUGAUCCAAGAUCCUAAGACGGUGAUCGAGCAAAUAAAUUGUUUUCAUGCACUUGAAAAAUAGCAAAAAUCAAAGGCCUACUACCAAUAUUGGUUGUGAACAAAACAAUCAGCGGAAACAAUACAUAGGAUGAUGGAUGCCGAGAUAUACGGAGGAAAUCAUCAACAUCUUUGCACACAGCUUAAUAUCUCAACUUCAUAUUAUUGAUGACAGUAGUCAACGCAUUGAGGAAACCGGGUAACAAAGGAGUAGCGCGCUACAACACCAAUUAACUAAUUAUUAGCGGUACAAAAGAAGAACACCAAGGUUUAUACCACAUAUCACACCACUUCGAUCAUAAACCCCUGGAUAUUGGUACAGAUACCCAAGAACACAAGGUUCAUCCCCCUAUCUUCAUCCACGUACCCGUCAUCAAGAUACACUACCACCCCCAGAUCAGACCAGAACAAUUGCCAAAGGAUACAAGUUGCCCUACCUUAGUAGAGAGGUAAAAACACGCCGCCGUCGACGACGCCGAGGCCACGGCCGCGGCCGUCACUCCUCAACGAGGGGAGUAGCCGCCGUCAUCUCCAUGGCCACGAGCCCACGCCCCCACCCUAUAGGCGUCGUCCGAAGCGCAGCCACCCGUUGCCGAGACACACGCACGCUCCAGAAUAAGAACACGGCCACGCACCAUGACAUAAGCCUGUAGAUCUUUGCGUGUGCUGCUUGGAUAAUGUGUGGAGCUCGCGUUCCCCCCUGCCGCCGCCCUGGGCGUACGUGGGCUUAAGAGGGGGAGGAGAGGGAGCUCCCAUUGGGCGCUUUUAUUUGGACGCUUCGCUGCCUCUUUGAGGAUCCGAGGGGGCUUUCUGCAGAAACGUUUUUUCUAAUGCCAAAAAGCUCCUCGCCUACGCCUAUGCUACCUAAAUCCU